rnacentral:rRNA from 1 species
GUGGGGAAUAUUGGACAAUGGGCGCAAGCCUGAUCCAGCCAUGCCGCGUGAGUGAUGAAGGCCUUAGGGUUGUAAAGCUCUUUCAGUGGGGACGAUAAUGACGGUACCCACAGAAGAAGCCCCGGCUAACUUCGUGCCAGCAGCCGCGGUAAUACGAAGGGGGCUAGCGUUGUUCGGAUUUACUGGGCGUAAAGCGCACGUAGGCGGAUCGUUAAGUCGGGGGUGAAAUCCUGGAGCUCAACUCCAGAACUGCCUUCGAUACUGGCGAUCUUGAGUCCGGAAGAGGUGAGUGGAACUCCUAGUGUAGAGGUGGAAUUCGGAGAUAUUAGGAAGAACACCAGUGGCGAAGGCGGCUCACUGGUCCGGUACUGACGCUGAGGUGCGAAAGCGUGGGGAGCAAACAGGAUUAGAAACCCGAGUAGUCC